GAUGAACGCUAGCGGCAGGCCUAAUACAUGCAAGUCGAACGGUGUAGCAAUACACAGUGGCGCACGGGUGCGUAACACGUAUGCAACCUACCUUACAUUGGGGGAUAGCCUUUCGAAAGGGAGAUUAAUACCGCAUAAGACAGUAACUAGGCAUCUAGUAGCUGUUAAAGAUUUAUCGAUGUAAGCUGGGCAUGCGUCCAAUUAGUUAGUUGGCGAGGUAAUGGCUCACCAAGACGAUGAUUGGUAGGGGAACUGAGAGGUCAAUCCCCCACACUGGCACUGAGAUACGUGCCAGACUCCUACGGGAGGCAGCAGUAGGGAAUAUUGGGCAAUGGGCGCAAGCCUGACCCAGCCAUGCCGCGUGCAGGAAGAAGGCGUUAUGCGUUGUAAACUGCUUUUAUACAGGAAGAAACGACCCUUGCGAGGGGCAUUGACGGUACUGUAUGAAUAAGCACCGGCUAACUUCGUGCCAGCCGCCGCCGUAAAAC
rnacentral:rRNA from 1 species